AUUGAACGCUGGCGGCAGGCUUAACACAUGCAAGUCGAGCGAGCGGCGGACGGGGGAGUAAUGUCUGGGAACCUGCCUGAUGGCGGGGGAUAACUACUGGAAACGGUAGCUAAUACCGCAUACCAUCAGAUGUGCCCAGAUGGGAUUCGCUAGUAGGUGUGGUAAUGGCUCACCUAGGCGACGCUCCCUAGCUGGUCUGAGAGGAUGACCAGCCACACGGGAACUGAGACACGGUCCAGACUCCUACGGGGGGCAACAGUGGGGAAUAUUGCACAAUGGGGGAAAGCCGGAUGCAGCCAUGCCGGGUGUGUGAAGAAGGCCUUCGGGUUGGAAAGCAAUUUCAGCGAGGAGGCGUUACUCGAAGAGGAAGCACCGGCUAACUCCGUGCCAGCAGCCGCGGUAAUUC
rnacentral:rRNA from 1 species